GCCAACUCUAGCCCAAGCCCCCAUACAACUGUACUACCUACAAUACUAUAACCAAAUCAUUUACCUAUUAUAAAAGUAUAGGCGAUAGAAAUUUCACCUUAGGCGCAAUAGAUACAGUACCGCAAGGGAAAGACAAAGACUUAAUAAAGCACAAAAAAGCAAAGACAAACCCUUCUACCUUCUGCAUAAUGAAUUAACUAGAAAUAACUUUAUAUAGAGAACUUCAAUAAUGCCCCCCGAAACCAAGCGAGCUACCCAAAGACAGCUAAAAGAGCACACCCGUCUAUGUGGCAAAAUAGUGGGAAGAUCUAUGGGUAGUGGUGACAAACCUAUCGAGCCUGGUGAUAGCUGGUUGUCCAAGACAGAAUUUCAGUUCAACCUUAAAUUUACUUACAGACCCACUAAUCCUCCCGUAAAUUUAAUUGUUAGUCUAAAGAGGGACAGCUCUUUAGACUUUAGGAAAUAACCUUUUAUAGAGAGUAAGACAUUCCACCACUACAGUUGGCCUAAAAGCAGCCAUCAAUUAAGAGUGCGUUCAAGCUCAAUACCUAAUUAUCCUUAAUUCUACUAAUAAUACCAAACCCCUAUAACACAUUGGACUAAUCUAUUUCCCAAUAGAAGCAACAAUGUUAGUAUAAGUAACAUGAAAUUAUUCUCCUCGCAUAAACUUAUCUCAGACCGAAACAACUACUGCUAGUUAACAGUCCAAUCACCACGUACUAUACCUUAACAUAAUAUUAUUUAAACUGUUAACCCAACACAGGUAUGCAUCCAGGAAAGAUCAAGAGAAGUAAGAGGAACUCGGCAAACUCCACCCCCGCCUGUUUACCAAAAACAUCACCUCUAGCAUUACUAGUAUUAGAGGCACUGCCUGCCCGGUGACACAUGUUUAACGGCCGCGGUACCCUGACCGUGCAAAGGUAGCAUAAUCACUUGUUCUCUAAAUAAGGACUUGUAUGAAUGGCCACACGAGGGUUUAACUGUCUUUUACUUCUAAUCAGUGAAAUUGACCUAUCCGUGAAGAGGCGGAUAUAACUUAAUAAGACGAGAAGACCCUAUGGAGCUUAAAUUUAAUAGUACAAACCAACAAUUUAAAAACCAAUAGGCAACAACCCACCGUUCAUGUACUAUGAAUUUUGGUUGGGGUGACCUCGGAGUAUAAUACAACCUCCGAAAAACAUACACCAAGACUUCACCAGUCUAAGUAGAUAUACACACCCAUUGACCCAAUAACUUGAUCAACGGACUAAGUUACCCUAGGGAUAACAGCGCAAUCCUAUUUUAGAGUCCAUAUCGACGAUAGGGUUUACGACCUCGAUGUUGGAUCAAGACAUCCUAAUGGUGCAGCCGCUAUUAAGGGUUCGUUUGUUCAACGAUUAAAGUCUUACGUGAUCUGAGUUCAGACCGGAGAAAUCCAGGUCGGUUUCUAUCUAUUAAAUAUUCCUCCCAGUACGAAAGGACAAGAGAAAUAGAGCCUACUUCACAAAGCGCCCUCACAAAUCAAAUGAUCGUUAUCUCAAUCCCAUAAACUAAUACCCCACCCCUAGAGUAGGGAUC
rnacentral:rRNA from 1 species